rnacentral:rRNA from 1 species
AUUGAACGCUGGCGGAAUGCUUUACACAUGCAAGUCGAGCGGCAGCGCGGGGCAACCUGGCGGCGAGCGGCGAACGGGUGAGUAAUGCAUCGGAACGUACCCAGUCGUGGGGGAUAACUGUCCGAAAGGACAGCUAAUACCGCAUACGUCCUGAGGGAGAAAGCGGGGGAUCGCAAGACCUCGCGCGAUUGGAGCGGCCGAUAUCGGAUUAGCUAGUUGGUGGGGUAAAGGCUCACCAAGGCGACGAUCCGUAGCGGGUCUGAGAGGACGACCCGCCACACUGGAACUGAGACACGGUCCAGACUCCUACGGGAGGCAGCAGUGGGGAAUUUUGGACAAUGGGGGCAACCCUGAUCCAGCCAUUCCGCGUGAGUGAAGAAGGCCUCGGUUGUAAGAC